rnacentral:rRNA from 1 species
CCUACGGGUGGCAGCAGUGAGGAAUAUUGGUCAAUGGGCGAGAGCCUGAACCAGCCAAGUCGCGUGAAGGAUGAAGGACCUAUGGUUUGUAAACUUCUUUUAUAUGGGAAUAAAGUGAGGAACGUGUUCCUUUUUGUAUGUACCAUAUGAAUAAGCAUCGGCUAACUCCGUUCCAGCAGCCGCGGUAAUACGGAGGAUGCGAGCGUUAUCCGGAUUUAUUGGGUUUAAAGGGCGCGUAGGUGGUUAAUUAAGUCAGCGGUGAAAGUUUGUGGCUCAACCAGAAAAUUGCAGUUGAAACUGGUAGGCGUGAGUAUAUGAGAGGUAGGCAGAAUGCGUGGUGUAGCGGUGAAAUGCAUAGAUAUCACGAAGAACUCCGAUUGCGAAGGCAGCUUACUGAACUAUAACUGACACUGAGGCACGAAAGCGUGGGGAGCAAACAGGAUUAGAUACCCCUGUAGUC